rnacentral:rRNA from 1 species
UACGUAGGGGGCAAGCGUUGUCCGGAUUUAUUGGGCGUAAAGAGCGUGUAGGCGGUCAGGUAGGUCCGUUGUGAAAACUCGAGGCUCAACCUCGAGACGCCGAUGGAAACCAUCUGACUAGAGUCCGGAAGAGGAGAGUGGAAUUCCUGGUGUAGCGGUGAAAUGCGCAGAUAUCAGGAAGAACACCCGUGGCUAAGGCGGCUCUCUAGUACGGUACUGACGCUGAUGCACGAAAGCUAGGGGAGCAAACAGG